GGCGCUAUAGCCAAGUGGUUACGGCGACAGAUUAGAAUCAACAUAUUCAUCUGUUCCUCUUUGAGGGCGCAGGUUCAAAUCCUGCUGGCGUCG